ACACACACACACACACACGCACACACGCACGCACGCACGCACGCACCCCUCACCCUCCCUCUGUCAGGUGAAUGGGUACUAUUAUUUCUUUUUUGUCUUUUUCAAGUGCAUAUGGCUUUCCUGUUGUUUAAUCUGUAUGAAAUUAAAUAAAUAAAUAAAACCUGUUGGAUUUAAGCCUAUUGAUAGUUAGCUAUUUAAUAAAGAAAAAAGUAGGGUAGAUAUUUGCUCAGGAUGAUUUAAAAACUAUUUAUAAAUCAUGUUACUUUAUAUUUGACAUGCUUUGGGGUUGAAUGAGCAUUGAAAUACUUAACUUAGCCUAGCAUUUGUUUUAAAAAAAUUUACUCCUUAGUAUAGUCUAAAUAAAUGACUAUGCAUUCAAAUAUAUAUAUAUAUUUCUUUAUUAUUAUUAUCAUGAUUAUUAUUAAUUGAAUCAAUGCUGACAAUUUCAUACAAUUACUCAUCUCCCACCCUCUCUUAGCUCCUUUACACUCCCUUGCCUACACAUCUCUUCCUUGCAUUCUGGUUUGUUUCUUUUAUGACCCUCCAAGUUUAACCCACUGGACUUGUGGCCAUGCGUUUGGAGCUAUUCCUUGGAGCUUGGUGGGUCAGCAGCAGAGGUACAGGUGAAAACAGUGACCCCACUUUCCCUAGAAUCACUAGUCAGUGGUUCCUAAGUAGAGGAUAAAGCCCCAUACGUCAUUCCUCCAUCCAUGACAGACUGUGAAAAGAGCCAGUCUUGUUCAGGCCCAGUGCAAAUUACUACAGUCUCUCAGUUCAUGACUUCAAUGGCUAGGUUCCACCUAGAGAAUAGCAUUUCAGGGCCCUUCUCCAGGCCUCUUGUUUCUUAUAUUCUUCUAACGACCUGUGUACUCACCUUCAUUCACUGCAAAAAGAGGCAUCUGGGAUUGAGACUGAGAGUAGCAUUUGUCUGUGUGUAUGGUGUAUAUAUUUAGAAGACACAUUAAUACUUAAGUCAGUUUAGCUCAUGAACAGCUCCUUCCUUGGGUCUAUGACCUUUUCAGGCAUUAUUGUUGGCUGGGAUUUCAGUACCAGACAUAGAUUGUCUCCUGAGGUCUAGGCUUCAAAUUCAUUCAGGGGCUAUUGGUUUUCACCAUAACAAUUGUGCCAUUUUUGAGCAGGUGAGCUGUUCUUGCAUGACGGCUUGGUUUUAUAGUCCAUAGGGUUCACAGCUCGGUAAGUCUAUCGAGGGGUAAAUUUCUUUUGAAGCUGCCAGCACUGCAUCUCCCACACUUUGAAAAUUAGCCACCAAGGAAGAAAUUUCCAACUCAGUUCUGGCUUGCUUCUCUUAGCGCUAAGGUGGGUGGUGUCCUUAGGACUAGGCUCUCAUCCUCUAGUAAUUGUGGACAACCCAGAAGACUCACAAGAGCCUGCAUUGUAUGCGGUGGGGAGCUCUGUCACCUUCCAAACCAACAAUUCUCAUGGUAAGAUAAUAUAUCUGGGACUGUAAUUUUGUUUAGUAACCUACUGCAUCUGGAAGCAGUAUUAUCUCACCAUGCAGAGUGUCUCCACUCAAUCCCUAGACAUGUCUUUAAAUUUGGUUGCAAUAUAGUAAGUUUCCAUAUAACUUUAAACACACACACACAUUUCGUUUUUGUUAGCAUUUCCCCCACUCUCUUGUUCCCCACUGCAGUUUUUUCCUUGUUGCCUUCAUCCCAUUAGACCUGUUAUGUAGAAAGUAAAAUCUAGAGAGCUUUGCCAGGUAUCUGUGUUUGCAUCAGGAAUGGUUUCAGUGCCCAAUCUCAUCCUCUCUUCAGUUCAGUCUCACUAUAGUAUCCAAAUAGAAAUUAGAAAUCCCAUCAUGUUCUGACUACUUUUCUGGGAGAAAAACUAUUAAAGAUAAAAAAUUGUGUCAAGAAAAGAAAGCAGGAUUGCACAAAGUUAAUCUGAUUUCUUACCCACUGUCAAUGUUGAGCGUUUCCUCUGUGAGAAUAUGAAUAUUGUGUGUGUUUUACCAAGAUGUGAAAGGUUAUAAUAAUAUACAUGAUGAGAUAAAUAUGUAUUCAAACAGAUAGUAGCCCAUGUACAUCUCUAUUAUCAGGAUUUUCUAAUUGAGAAUGAGAAAUUUUAGAACAAGUUUGAUAAAGUUACCUAUAUAACAUUUUAUAAAAUCAACUAAACAUAGGUAGACUUUAAAAAAUAAUUUAACUCAUCAUCAAAAACAAUAGAUUUGGUGGGCUUAUUUGUUUGAGACAAAGUUUUAUGUAGCCCAAGCUGGCCUUUUAUUAUGUAGCAGAGUGUGGCUUUGAACUCCCUAUCUUCCUGCCUCUACCCCAGAAGUGCUGGUCUUACAGGUGAGAACUUGAAGCACAGUAUUACUGAACGUAUACAGGGAAGACAUUUUAAAUCAUCUAGAACUAUUGUAUGAGGGAAUUAACAUGAGAUACAUACAGAAAGCGGAACAGUAAACUAUAGAGUGUUUUUAAGCAACAUUUUAGAGCAUAGUUUUUGCCUUUAAAUUUUUUUUCUAUUUUUAUAGUUAAUAGUGCUACCAGUGGGUUUUUGUCUUAUGUUGUUUUUACUCAAACUUUUUAUUAUAGUUGAGUUUUACUUUUAAAAAAAGUUUUCCUUAAUCUUAAACUUUGCAUUUUGUAGCUUCCAGUUUGUUGAAAGUAGGAUUUUAAAUAUAGUUUACCUUACGAAAAUCUCAUAAUUUAGUGCUUCCCCAUUGCUGGACAGACAUACAUAAUAUCUUACUCUAAAUAGUACUAUUACGACUAUCCUUCUACUCACAGCAUUAUUCCAGUAUAGUAUUUAAUAUCAAAUUUUACAUUUUAUAAUCUAAGGAAAUGAAUGUCUUUUAAAGUGGCAAACAUGCUGUGAAAGAGACUCACAGUACUGGCACCAAUGAGCACUUCAUUGGUGACAUUUUCCAUAUAAAUUUCACCAUUUCAAUGCUGGUGUUAAAUGAAGGCUUAAUUACCCCUCUAAAAUUGGCAAGAAAGGAUGAAUUCUACGUGUGUGUCUGUGUAUGUGUAUGUGUUUCUUGGUGUGAAUGCAUAUAUGUACAUAUGCAUGCAGAAGACAGAGGACAACUCCAGGUAGCCUGGGCACCAUCCACCUUACCUUGAGGUCUUUUGUUGGUCUGGGCAGAAAAAGGUUAAGAUAACUGGGCAAAAAGUAGGAGUGGUCCCCCUGCCUCUACCUUCCUGAAAGUAGGAUUACAAGAGUGACCAUGCUCAGCAUUUUUGCAGGGCUCCCGGUGAUCAGGUCCCCCUGCAUACACUGCAAACUCUGCCACGUCCCCAUCCAUGUCCACAGACCCAGUGACUUCUUACUUUUUAAGUAAUGUCAAUAUAAAGUAGGAAAUAAGUACUUAUUAAGGAACAGCCAUGAGAUGUUAAAUGUUAAGCCAAACAGCAUAACUUUCAUUUUAUAUAACUAAACUUUCAUUUAUAUAUAACUAAACAAUGUUAAUUUUACUGGCUUUGUGACUUUCUACUUCAGCAGACUGUCCAAAUUAUGCUGCUUAGGUAACUAUUAUAUUUUCUAGAAUUUAAUUGAUCCGAAGAUAGGCAAUAGUGUUUGUUUUGCAACGGUUCCUCAGAGAAAGAACUCCAGAACCCUGACAAAUGGAAGGAUGACACCUAGGACCUCCAUGUCAUUGAAAAGUUUCUCUAUACCUGACGUAGGAGCUACCACACCAUUCUAAAAAUCUUAGGAAUAUUUUAAGAAUUAACAUUAUUCUUAAAAACCUAAAAGAGAUAGAUCGUAACGUCUUUAACCAGUAUUUUAUUUUAAAAUUUUUAUCCUUUCUGUUUAAAAAUAAAUCAUCUUUCUUUCUAAAUUGAUUCUGUUAUUUCCUUUAUAAGAUAUAAAAAUAAAGGGGAACUGUUAUUGUAUGUGAAGGUAUCUUAACUUUGGUCCACUCAGACCCCCUUUCACCCAAGAAAUUUUUAUGUUCCUCUGGUUAUACAAAAGAGGUAUACUAGUAAAACAUUUUACUGGUUAUGAGAUC
rnacentral:lncRNA from 1 species